CAGGAAGCCGAGCUCGUCUGGAUUCCCACCAUGGCCUGGGCCCCUCUGCUCCUCGCGCUGGUCACUUACUGCUCAGGGGUCAGUUCGCAGCCCGUGGUGACUCAGGAGCCCUCGAUGUCGGUGACCCCAGGAGGGGCUGUCACUCUGUCCUGCAGUCUGAGCUCUGGAGCCAUCAGCACCAGCAACUAUCCAGGCUGGUUCCAGCAGAAACCAGGCUCUGCUCCUCGGCAGCUUAUAUACAGCACCAAUAGCAGACCCUCCGGGAUCCCUGCCCGGUUCUCUGGGUCCAUAUCCGGUAACAACGCUGCCCUGACCAUCACCGGUGUCCAGGCAGAGGAUGAGGCUGACUAUUACUGUGCUGUGUAUACCGGUAGCAGUAGUAAUACAUAUCACAGUGAUCCAGCCAGAUGGGGAACUGAGACAAAAACCUCCCCUGUCUUCUCCCCUGAUCCCCUCCAGCCUGGGCUCUGCACUGGCUACACAGUUUGGUUCCUGCCUGCAAGAGAUGAGACACUGAUUGCUCCUCCUUAGGAAUUUCAGCCACCAGCCCUUGAAAUCAGCAGGGGGCGCUGCUCCACCCCUCCCCAUUCACUCCCUCUUAUGCUCUCUGCUUGGUCUGUCUAGCAUCCACAGCUUUUGCUGCGUUAUAGAUCCCUGUGUUACAGAUCCACCACUACCUGGUUCAAACUAGGAGCAGACGGCCACAUGUUCUUUGGGUAAAGAGACACCUCUCCGCUAACACAGUUCCCCUAUGUUACCCCAUCAACUGAAUAAUACCUGGAAUGGCCUGAAAGUGAGAGGAAAGAUGUAUGAGAUCACUUUAUGGGUCCCCAUUCCCAUGCCUGGAUGAAGUGUCCAGUUAUAGGAUGUAUCAGAAAAUAGAUUAUAUCACAAUCCCAUUUGUUCUUAGCCAAAAGUUAGACCCAGGAGCUUUGGGGGAUUUUCCAGGGCCACAGACCUGCAGCCCUUUCCCAGCCAUUGGAGCAACACACACAGGGCUGCCAGGUGUCCAGUUUUUGACAGCUAAGUGGGGCUAAGACAGGCUCCCUACCUGCCGUGGCUCCGCAUGGCUCCCGGAAGCAGCGGCAUGUCCCCCCCUCUGGCUCCAAUGCAUAGGGGCAGCCAGGG